AACGAACGCUGGCGGCGUGUUUAAGACAUGCAAGUCGAACGGGAAAUAAACUGGUAUUUAUAUUAGUUUGUUUCUAGUGGCGCACGGGUGAGUAACACGUGAAUUACAUACCCUUGAGUGGGGGAUAGCCCGCCGAAAGGCGGAUUAAUACCCCAUGGUACCUCCGGGUUAAAGAUGGCCGCAAGGCUGUCGCUCAAGGAUUGGUUCGCGCCCUAUCAGCUUGUUGGUGAGGUAACGGCUCACCAAGGCUACGACGGGUACCUGGUUUGAGAGAAUGAUCAGGCACACUGGAACUGAGACACGGUCCAGACACCUACGGGUGGCAGCAGUCGAGAAUAAUUCACAAUGGACGAAAGUCUGAUGGUGCAACGCCGCGUGGAGGAUGACGGUCUUCGGAUUGUAAACUCCUGUCAUCAGGGAGUAAGACCUGGGUGUUAAUAGCACACAGGGUUGAUAGUACCUGAAGAGGAAGGGACGGCUAACUUCGUGCCAGCAGCCGCGGUAA
rnacentral:rRNA from 1 species